rnacentral:rRNA from 1 species
AUGGGGGGCUGGUUCUCUUUCCCGGGUAACGACGGGCGUGCAAUCCCAAGAGAGUGGGCAGUUGCAGCUGGAUUGGAUGCCACUCCCUUCAACAUGCGUCGACUGAAGAACGUGGGUCGCCCCGGCCCGCGCACACCAGAAGAAUUCGACGCCUACCACAUUCGCAAUCUCGCGCGCUGGGCCCUCCGACAUUACAACUCCAGCCACCCGGGUGCUGAGUUCCGGUGCCCUGAUCAGCCCACCACCGAGGCGAAGGCAGCCUGUGUUGGCUUCAGGGAAGAUCUCUGGUACCACCUCAACUUCUUGGCCUGCCUAAAGGAUGACGGCGACGAGCAGAGCUUCUUCGCCGAGCUACGCUAUGUCCGGUGUUCCAGCACAAUAAUCAUCGAAACAUGCACCAUCUUAGAAAAACCGUUUUGCCCCUUUAGAAGCAGUUGCACAUUGUGUCCAGAUGAAUCCAAGAUUUUGCAUCCAAGCGAUGUGGAGCUUGGGUGUGGGAAGGAGGGCCACCAAGAGGAAUUCUUCCGCGAGAGGUGUGGAUGGAACGGACAUGUAAAGGAAUUUUUCAGUCCAAGGGAGAUGCUAGCGAUACCCUUCAAGUUAGGAGGACCAGUGCCUCGAUAUAGACUGGAGUAA